UCCCGUUAAUUAAUUUUAAUUUUUUUUUUACAUUCAUGUGUCUGAAAUUUUGUCGGAGUCCCGUUUACAAUUAUGUUGUUCACACCUGAAUGCCAGUGAACCGUGACGCCUAGAUUUCACUGAAUGAGGAUCAAAGGAUUAGAAUUACAUAAUGCUAAUCUUUUAAUUACCUUGAGUUAACCUACGCAUUCAACAUUCUUUAGGUGUCACAAAACAAUACACAUUUUAUUUCCACCGUACAAGCAAGUGAAAAUGUUUGCUGUAAUGAAGCA
rnacentral:lncRNA from 1 species